GAUGAACGCUGGCGGCGUGCCUAAUACAUGCCAGUCGAGCGAACGGACGAGAAGCUUGCUUCUCUGAUGUUAGCGGCGGACGGGUGAGUAACACGUGUAUAACCUACCUAUAAGACUGGGAUAACUUCGGGAAACCGGAGCUACUACCGGAUAAUAUUUUGAACCGCAUGGUUCAAAAGUGAAAGACGGUCUUUCUGUCACUUAUAGAUGGAUCCGCGCUGCAUUAGCUAGUUGGUAAGGUAACUGCUUACCAAGGCAACGAUGCAUAGCCGACCUGAGAGGGAGAGCGGCCACACUGGAGCUGAGACACGGCCGAGACUCCGACAGGAGGCAGCAGUAGGGAAUCUUCAGCAAUGGGCGAAAGCCUGAUGGAGCAACGCCGCGUGAGUGAUGAAGGUCUUCGGAUCGUAAAACUCUGUUAUUCGGGAAGAACAUAUGUGUAAGUAACUGUGAACAUCUUGACGGUACCUAAUCAGAAAGCCACGGCUAACUACGUG
rnacentral:rRNA from 1 species